GACAGAGGAUGCAAGCGUUAUCCGGAAUGAUUGGGCGUAAAAGCGUCUGUAGGUGGCUUUUUCAAAGUCCGCCCGUCAAAAUCCCCAGGGCUCAACCCUGGACAGGCGGUGGAAAACUACCAAAGCUGGAGUACGGUAGGGGGCAGAGGGGAAUUUCCGGUGGAGCGGUGAAAAUGCAUUUGAGAUCGGAAAAGAACACCAAACGGCGAAAACACUCUGCUGGGC
rnacentral:rRNA from 1 species